rnacentral:rRNA from 1 species
UCGAGGAUCUUCGUCAAUGGGCGAAAGCCUGAACGAGCGACGCCGCGUGCGGGAUGAAGGCCCUUGGGUUGUAAACCGCUGUCAGGGGGGAUGAAACCGUAAGGUUGACAGAGCCCCAGAGGAAGCACGGGCUAAGUUCGUGCCAGCAGCCGCGGUAAUACGAACUGUGCGAACGUUACUCGGAAUCACUGGGCUUACAGGGUGCGUAGGUGGCUUGAUAAGCAGGGUGUGAAAUCCCUCGGCUCAACCGAGGAACUGCGCUCUGAACUGUCGGGCUAGAGUAUGCUAGAGGUGAAUGGAACAUCCAGUGGAGCGGUGAAAUGUGUUGAUAUUGGAUGGAACACCAGAGGCGAAGGCGAUUCACUGGGGCAUAACUGACACUGAGGCACGAAAGCCAGGGGAGCAAACGGG